AGAGUUUGAUCAUGGCUCAGAACGAACGCUGGCGGUAUGCUUAACACAUGCAAGUCGAACGUUAAAAUCCCUUCGGGGGUAAUUAAAGUGGCGCACGGGUGAGUAAUGCGUAGAUAACCUGCCUUUUAGACUGGGAUAACUUUUUGAAAAGAAAGCUAAUACUGGAUAAUAUGAGGGGUCAAGUGGCACUUCAUUGAAAGAUUUAUCGCUAAAAGAUGGGUCUGCGUGGCAUUAGCUUGUUGGUGAGGUAAUAGCUCACCAAGGCCGCGAUGCCUAGCGGGUCUGAGAGGAUGGUCCGCCACACUGGAACUGAGACACGGUCCAGACUCCUACGGGAGGCAGCAGUGGGGAAUCUUGCGCAAUGGGCGAAAGCCUGACGCAGCAAUACCGCGUGAGUGAAGAAGGCCUUCGGGUCGUAAAUCUCUUUAUGUAAGUGAGGAUAGUGACGUUAGCUUACAAACAAGCACCGGCUAACUCCGUGCCAGCAGCCGCGGUAAUACGGAGGGUGCGAGCGUUAGUUCGGACCCAUUCCCACUCGAGGCGAUAUAUACGGCGCGUAAGGCGGUCUGAAAAGCCAAGGGUGAAAUCCCGGAGCUCAACUCCGGAAUUGCUCUUGGAACUUUUAGACUUGAGAUAGUUAGAGGCAAGUGGAAUUCCUGGUGUAGAAGUGAAAUUCGUAGAUAUCAGGAGGAACACCGGCGGCGAAGGCGGCUUGCUGGAGCUAUUCUGACGCUGAGGCGCGAAAGCGUAGGUAGCAAACAGGAUUAGAUACCCUGGUAGUCUACGCCCUAAACAAUGAGUGCCGGCUGUGUGUGGCUUCGACACCACAUGUGGCGCAGCUAACGCGAUGAGCACUCCGCCUGGGAAGUACGGUCGCAAGACUAAAACUCAAAGGAAUUGACGGGGACCCGCACAAGCGGUGGAACAUGUGGUUUAAUUCGAAGCAACGCGAAGAACCUUACCUGGGUUUGACAUCCUUGGAAAACAGUAGAAAUACUGCUUCCCCUUCGGGGGCCGGGUGACAGGUGCUGCAUGGCUGUCGUCAGCUCGUGUCGUGAGAUGUUGGGUUAAGUCCCGCAACGAGCGCAACCCCUACCCUUAAUUGCCAGCGGUUCGGCCGGGAACUUUGAGGGAACUGCCGGUGUCAAGCCGGAGGAAGGUGGGGAUGACGUCAAGUCCUCAUGGCCUUUAUAUCCAGGGCUACACACGUGUUACAAUGGCAAGUACAAAGGGCUGCUUUGUCGCAAGGCAUGGCGAAUCCUUAAAACUUGUCUCAGUUCGGAUUGCAGUCUGCAACUCGACUGCAUGAAGCUGGAAUCGCUAGUAAUCGCAGAUCAGCACGCUGCGGUGAAUCCGUUCCCGGGUCUUGUACACACCGCCCGUCACACCAUGGGAGUUGACAUCAGCAGAAGACGUUGAGCUAACCUUAGGGAAGCAUGCGUCCAAGCUGCUGUUGAUGACUGGGGUGAAGUCGUAACAAGGUAAC
rnacentral:rRNA from 1 species